CUGAACGCACCAUACAGGUGCCUGAAUCUAAUUGGUUGUGGUGCUGUCUGUAUAUAAAGGGCCCUCCCUCACCUGGCAGACAUGUCUGUCUUCUGGUUCAGACCUCGGCGUUUGCUGGUGCUGCAUGCCAGCUGCAUACAAAUGCACGCAUGAAAGACUGACAUUUAUCUCAGACCAAUUCUUCCUGUGGUGGCCAGUACACUGUUUGAUUCCCCUCCCUGCUUGAGGCACUACACAGAGCUCAGGGACGCUGCUGUUUGUCCUUGGCUGGCUGUUUGCCAGACUGUUACUCCGAGCUGCCACUUGCCUGCUACCUUGGGUAUCCAUCGUCUGCGGCUUACCCGUCAACCUGGUUGGCGUAAAGCUGGCUCCUGGCCCUCGUCCACUGUGGCUGAUUUGGGCUGGUUUGCGACCAGCUCUACUGAUUCUUCUGGUGCUUCUCUGGGUGGCGCGAGCUGUGGUGUGGCCGUGUGCCCCAAGACGGAUUCUUAAUUAUAACUGCUGCUUGAGUUGUUGUGGACUAAACUGUAUCAUUUAAUGCAUGUUAUUUGAGUGUCUAUUGUAUAUUUGCCAGGAACAGCCAGCUCGUGGUGUUGGCGGUGGACUUUCCGGGUGGUGGUGCUUUUUGGUUUGGUGCAUGAUUUUCUUUUAUUUUUGUUUGCUGCGUUUCUUUUGUACGCCACUACCCUGAUUUGGACUGCCACCUAGAGUGAGCCAAACUGUCAUUUUACUGUGUGAUUGGUUUUAAUGUAUGUUUUAUCAAACUGAACCCAAAACAAUUGUGCAAUAAAUAAAAUUAUUGAAUUGGGUGAGAUUGUCUCAAGCCUCAUCUGUAGCGGGCCUGUGUGCCUUAAAGGUGACUUGGAGGAGAAUUAAUUACAACCGUAUAAUUGUUAAAUUGGUUUUUAUUAAUU